UCCGCGGUAGCUCAGCGGUAGAGCAUCCGACUGUUAAUCGGAUGGUCGUAGGUUCGAAUCCUACCCGCGGAGCCA
rnacentral:tRNA from 1 species